AAAGGGCAGCGAGCUAAAAAUCACCUAGGUAACAACCGAACUAGACCAAUUUAGCCAAUGUGCUCGAGUUUCGUCAGACACGAGGAAACAGCGCCCCCUGUGUAGUAACGGCUGGCUAACGACCUCUGACCUGUGUGGUCGAAAAAGGAAGUUGGACCUUUGCGUGGAAUGUGUAGCCUGUCGCGCUCCGACCACUUCACAAACAGAAAACAGCGACGGAGAGAGGAGAGGAGGACUUCUGCCAACAAACAAUUACUGACCAGGCAGCAGGUGUGGCUGAACGUUACAAAUGACGGACACUUCAUCUCCAUGGGAGAACGGACAGAAGACUUCAACGACAAAUCCUUGUUGGUAGAGUGACUAGCAGCGAUGGAGAGAGAGGAGGACUUCUGCCAACAAACAAUUACUGACCAGGCAGCAGGUGUGGCUGGACGUUACAAAUGACGGACACUUCAUCUCCAUGGGAGAAAGGAGAGAAGACUUCAAUGACAAAUCGACGGAGAGAGGAGAGGAGGACUUCUGCCAACAAACAAUUACUGACCAGGCAGCAGGUGUGGCUGAACGUUACAAAUGACGGACACUUCAUCUCCAUGGGAGAACGGACAGAAGACUUCAACGACAAAUCCUUGUUGGUAGAGUGACUAGCAGCGAUGGAGAGAGGAGAGGAGGGGGAAAAGGGCAGCGAGCUAAAAAUCACCUAGGUAACAACCGAACUAGCCCAAUUUAGCCAAUGUGCUCGAGUUUCGUCAGACACGGGGAAACAGCGCCCCCUGUGUAGUAACGGCUGGCUAACCACCUCUGACCUGUGUGGUCGAAAAAGGAAGUUGGACCUUUGCGUGGAAUGUGUAGCCUGUCGCGCUCCGACCACUUCACAAACAGACAACAGCGACGGAGAGAGGAGAGGAGGACUUCUGCCAACAAACAAUUACUGACCAGGCAGCAGGUGUGGCUGAACGUUACAAAUGACGGACACUUCAUCUCCAUGGGAGAACGGACAGAAGACUUCAACGACAAAUGAUUCCACAGGACAACUCCAAACCAGAGACAGAAGACCAUCUGAUCAAAACAUACACAGAUGUGAUGUACAAGAUGAGAUUGUGGUGGAGUGUCCUUGUCUUUCAGACAAUUAGCUGUCUUGUGAAGGCCGGGGGAGGACCAACCCCCCUCCCGACCCUCCAGGGCGGGUCACACUCACCCACACUAGAGGUCUUCACUCUUGCUCCCGGCAACGGGACGCGAACCCGACCCGACCAGCAGGUACGAGCUCUAACGCCGCCGGUCGACGCUUAUCCCGUUACACUACGGAGACAAGAGCGCUUGGAAAGGCGUCCACAAAGCAUCUUACUGUGCUUCCUUGAGGUUCACUACCAUCUGUAAACCUCUGACUCACCUUUGUGCUCCUGGAGGCUCUGUCACAGGUGCAGAAGAGGUGCCGCCUGCUGCUCCUGCAGAAACAGAACAGACAGACAGAAUCACUUUUUUCUCAACAGCAGUCUAACUGAGACUCCACCUACUGAAAUCAACACUGUAAAGCCAGUGCAUGUGAUGGGAAACUGGUCAAGUGUACAGGUUGUCAAUUACCUGGAGGCCUGUGUCCUGGUCUCAAAGAACUUCUUCAUGGUGUGAAGACUCUGUGAUCGUGGACAAAGUGGAGACACCUGGAGGGAAAUCAAGGAGAAACACACAAAGGAAAAUGAUCAAUAGACUACUACCUACUCAUCAUCAACAGUUAAAUCAUGAAAACACUGAAAAAUAUUUAACAUUACAGCUGAAACAAAACAUUUUUAUGCCUUCCUAUACUAUGACAUUUGGCUUAAGACAAAGGAACUAUCUUAAAGCAGCCAUUUUAACAUUGUUUUCCACAGGUUCUCACGCAUACCUCUACACAGUGUUUGUGGGUUAAGUUAGAUUUUGUGUUCAGGUUCAGACAGGUGGAAGGAAGCAGAAAAAGGAGAGCACGAGAAGAAAAACGUGUGGAUGCUAAAGGCAGGGUCAGAGUUCAGUUGCUCCUGCAGAAGUCAUAAGGUAGGGUUGUUGAUUGACUCACUGCAGGUUUUUAACUAAAGAUGUGAUGCUAUGGGACCAUCUCUGUCUCUGCUGGGCUCAGACACUAAGAGCAAUUAACUGGAGAUCAUGUGCCUGCCAUCCACUUCUUUCUCCUCUGUGCUCCUGCUUUCCAGCUAGAGAAUAGAUUUUAAAAAUGUAGAAAUGACAGAACUCACCUCAUCCUGGACUGAUGGAGACAAAACUCCUCAACCUGCCUGUCCUCUGCUUUCUCCCAUGGACACAUGGACGCCUGGUUAAAAGAGACAAGGUAUGUUGCUGCUGCUUGGAAAACAGGGAGGGCCUUUUGAGGCAUGAAGGUGUGUGUCUGCGAGUGUUAGACAGGUGGUCUUGUAUCACUGGCUUAUGAUCAGUUGCAUUUCAGGUAAAUUCAUGUUCAUCAGUACUCAAAUCCAAUCUAUUACUAUGUACAUAGUCCUUUUAUAUAUAUUGUUAUGUUUUAUGCCAUUUCAUAUUUUUGCUGCUGCACUGAAUUUCCCUGUUGUGGGACUAACAAAGGAUUAUCUGACUCUUCCUCAAAUAAAUACUUUUGAACACUGAA